CUCCUGAAUUUGCUCUCUCAUUCACCUGAAACAGGUAUUAUAGGACAGGAGGCGUACCAGUCAUCCUUAAGAAUGCCCUUGUGUUUUGUUGGACUGUAUUCUCUGGUAUGUUUUUGUUUAUUAUGUCCCAGGGGUUCAGCUCAAUCGCCACUUGUGAGGGGAAUUAUUUUUUCAGGUUUCCCCUAAAUGGCAUUUUCCGAGGCUUUUUGCUUCCCUCUGCAACGUUUUCUUUGUGAGCAGGGGUUUUCUUUUUUACCAUUCCCAUCUCACACAUACUGACCUUUAAAAAUGGAGAGAGAGAGGAGCUAGAAUAGUGGCACCUAUUUCCACCGCUACAGACAUUUGCGUGGACUUUCCACAGUGUUCUGGGUAAAAGGGGUAGCAUUUAAAGAUGGAGAGGAGGAGAAAUGUCGGAAUGGGAGAGGAGGACGGAUAAAGAGGAGAGAAUAAGCAGCCAGAUGAUGCCCUGCCCCCCAGGCAAGGAGGGUGCAUGGGUGGGUGCCUGCCCCCCUCCCUUCCCCCCCCCCCCUUCAUCCUGUACACGUGAGACCAUUUGUUCCAUUACCAAACCCCCCCCCCCCCCGUCCUCACAGCUCAAACAACUGCACGCGCUCAGUGCACACAUGGAGGCCCGGCACCACUCUGCUCAUCCAGACGCUCUAACCAGCCCUGCUCAGGCUGCCAUAUGGUUGGCAGAAGCCUGUAGAUUUAGCAGCACAUCUGCUUAUGCAUUACUGCCUUCCUGCAGGCCUGGGGGGCUUCAGGUGGGGGGGGGGGGGGGGGUUGGAGGAAUAAUAAAAAAAAUAAUUAUUGCAAUAAUUUGUGCAGCGAGCAUCAGAACUGAAUGAUGGACACUAUGGUUGAGAGAGAAAACUACAGUGCUAUUCAUGCAACAGGCUUCUGCAUAGGAUAAUAAGAGCUGCUGUGUCACUAGCAAGAUU